rnacentral:siRNA from 1 species
GGAGCGGUGGUCCUCCGGAGAUU